rnacentral:rRNA from 1 species
CGCGGUAAGACGUAGGGGGCAAGCGUGUCCGGGAAUUACUGGGCGUAAAGGGCGUGUAGGCGGUGCGGUACGUAGCGGUUUUAAGCCUCCGGCUCACCCGGAGGAGGGCGGCUAAACGGCAGCACUCGAGGGCAGGAGAGGUGCGCGGAAUUCCUGGUGGAGCGGUGAAAUGCGUAGAGAUCAGGAAGAACACCGGUGGCGAAGGCGGCGCACUGGCCUGACCCUGACGCUGAGGCGCGACAGCGUGGGGAGCAAACGGGAUUAGAUACCCCGGUAGUCCACGCCGUAAACGAUGGAUACUAGGUGUCGCGGGGGUCCACCUCGCGGUGCCGGAGCUAACGCACUAAGUAUCCCGCCUGGGGAGUACGGCCGCAAGGUUGAAACUCAAAGGAAUUGACGGGGGCCCGCACAAGCAGUGGAGCAUGUGGUUUAAUUCGACGCAACGCGCAGAACCUUACCAGGACUAGACGGGAUCGUGAGCGCCGCGAAAGCGGCGGGCCCUUCGGGGAGCGAUCGUCAGGUGCUGCAUGGUUGUCGUCAGCUCGUGUCGUGAGAUGUUGGGUUAAGUCCCGCAACGAGCGCAACCCUUGUCGUGUGUUGCCAGCGGUUCGGCCGGGCACUCACACGAGACUGCCGGUGACAAACCGGAGGAAGGUGGGGAUGACGUCAAAUCCGCAUGGCCUUUAUGUCCUGGGCUACACACGUGCUACAAUGGUCCCGACAACGGGCCGUGACGGCGCGAGCCUGAGCGAAUCCUUCAAACGGGGCCUCAGUUCGGAUUGCAGGCUGCAACCCGCCUGCAUGAAGUCGGAAUUGCUAGUAAUCGCCCAUCAGCAUGGGGCGGUGAAUUCGUUCCCGGGCCUUGUACACACCGCCCGUCACACCACGAAAGUUGGCCACACCCGAAGC